rnacentral:piRNA from 1 species
UAAACUGAGGUAUACUAUGGUACAACGU